rnacentral:lncRNA from 1 species
AUCCUAGGAGCGGUGAUGCUUCAGCUAGACGGCAACGCGAUCGCGGUCUCCACCAACACCGUCCUCCACGAGCCCAUGUCCACUUCGUCGACCUUGUUGUCACCGUCGCCGUCGUCGCCCACGGUGUCAUCGCCGAGCGAGUAGACACAUGUUCGGUAGAGUAACAGUUUCCGCUGACUGUAGCUGCGGUCGACCCCGGAAUCUACCUGAUUACACUGCAAUAACGUGACGUUCUUGCCUGAACGUCAACCUGAGACGGGGGGUGCUUAUAUGCAUACUGUUGAUGUGUGUAACCUGCUCGGUAAUUUAUGAUGAAAUAAGGCUUUUGCUUGCCAGAAGGGAGAAGUGUAGGGCUGAGGUAUGUAUCUCACAACUGUAGGUUUUAACGCGUCGCUCGCCCAUUGAGAGGAACCCG